rnacentral:lncRNA from 1 species
AGACCAUUGGCACCACUUGCUCACCUACCCAAAGACCAAGUGGUAUAGACCAACCAGCUAAUCAGCCCAAAAGUACUUUACAGUGGCAGUACAAGUAAAUAGUUGAUGAGUCACUAUCCUUCAAAUCGCAUUCGAGCAAGAUUGCUGCUACAGGAGGCCAAGCCAAAGUGUCUAUAAAAGAAGAAAGAGAAAUCAGAGUUGGAGACACUCAAACAAACAAACACUCAAACACUCAGACACUCAAACAAACAAACAAAUACAAGCACAAACUCUGCUCAAAAGCCAGAUUUGCUUUCAAACGAAGCUGUAGUCAGCCCAAGCCUUCAUCCCUUUCGGGAUAAACCCUCACUCAAGCCUUUGUAAUAGCUCUGCUACCCUGUUCAACUCUUGCUGUAGUGUCGAUUACUUUCUGUAAACUCAUCUCCCUACAGAUACAAUAAUAAUAAAACAGUUGUCAAGAUACUAACCCCCACAGUUUAUAUAAAGAAAACUACUAGCAUAAUAAGUGAUAAUUUUACUGAAAAUCCUAGCAUGCCAAAAACAUCUCAAAAGACAUAUAGUGGAAAAGCAUCGCGGAAAUCAAAAUAGCAAACGUCUCACAGAUCGUCUCGUAAGCACGGUGUGCUGCCAGUAAGAUCACUGAAUAAAUAUAACUCCUAACCCUAUGCCUGCUCCAUGUCCUUCAGCCCGUAGCUAGGGAUUAUUUCUCCCAAUCUAACUGCCAACACCAGAUCCUCGCCCCAGGCGGCAUUGUGUCCACUAGGUACGCACAAAUAGUUACGCCUCUCAUAAAUAACCACUUCAUAGUAUAAAGUCAUCCAUCAUCUAUACUAUAAAAAAGGGUUUCUAAAACAUGUUCUAGCAUCCUAUCAUCAUCCAUCAGAUAGUCUACCAGUUCAUGGUUUUUAUAGAAAAUACGAUAUGUCAAACUAUAGCUCAAUAUAGGCUAACAAUUAAUUCCUUACAAAAUAACGAGAUGAUAAUCAACAUUUCAAUAAAUCUGCUUAACAUAAAAUCAGUUAAUAAACUCGUAAGGCAUGCAUUUCAUUUAUGCAAAUAAACUAUAAAAUUAUGCAAAAUUUUAGAAAGGGUCCACUCACAUGUAUUCCACUAUUGGAGAGCCACUUGAAUUAGGAUGGAUUGGAUCACCUCCCACAGUUGCACCUAAAUACCAAUAGGGUUAGGUUUAAAUAAUUGGCUUAAGUGUUUAAUUAUUACAACCCAAAGUUUAGGCUGGGUCCCCAAAAAGUUAUUGGACUUAAUCCAAUAACCAAAGCCAAUCAAAUGAGCUAGGAUUUUAGCAUGUGGGUUGCGUCCUUAAAGAUUUUGGGCUUAAAUAGUUUAGGAACAAAAAGGGUGGUUUGGGCUUGAGCCCAAACCCACAUAACACACAUACACACACACCAGCACACACGCACACAUGCACAGCACACAUGCAUAGCACACAUGCACACACAUAUGCACUCACAUAAGCACACACAUUACACACACACCCACACACAUGCACGGCACAAAACACACAUACACACGUGCACCACACACACUCACACGCACUCACCAUACACAUACACACCCACACGGACACACACACACACACACACACACUGUACACGUACACACCCAACACAACACACACCCACGAACUCACUAGAGUUCGUCAUCGGAACUAGACAUGCAUGCAUAUAGGAUGGCAGGGGUUAGGGCUUGAAUAAAGGGUUCAAAACCUCACAAAUAUACAUAAGAACUCACCCAGAUGCACUGCAGCAAGUUUUUGGGACGAGAUAGACCUCGAACUCGUCGGAGUUCGUUCUCCUUCUCUUGCCAGAUUUUGGAAACAAAGGACAAAGAGUAGGUAUGUAAGUUUCACCUAGUUUUCCAGUUAAAACACAUAUGCAAAGAAGUAUUUAGUUACAUAGAAUCGGUCUCAGAUGAGUCUGUGCACCACCAGUCACAAACUCGUCGGGAUUUGGUCAGAUUUUCUUGUUGGAAUUUGGGAAGCAUACACAGAGAGACGUAUGGGUUAAACCUUGGAACCCCCAACUAAAAUUCAGUCACCAAUCCUCACGAAAACAAGUAAAGAAUGUAAAUUUAUAUGUUUAAGUUCAUAAGCCUCACCUGAGUCUCGAAAUGGGUACUCAGAGCUCUCGAGCUUGACCUCUUCCACUUCACUGAUCACACCUGCAAGGGUAUCAGCAAAAUACCCAAAGCAUAAGGAUGUAAAAAAUCGUGGUGGUGGCUUGGUUUUGUGCAUAGAGAAGUGGAGAUGGUGAUGGGGGUUCUCGGUGACACAGAGAGAGAGAGGAGGGAAGUGAGAUGCCGGGGG